rnacentral:lncRNA from 1 species
UAGAUCUAUGUUUUUUGGUGUAGCAAUGACCUUUGUCCAUCAGGUAAUGGAAGACCUCCACCACCUCCAAGGGGAUUUAGCACGCAAGCCCGCGGCGAGACCGAAUGAUGUCCCACGGGCCCCAGGAGCAUUAGAGACACUAAUGUAUUCGUGAUUGUCACUCUAGUCUGUUAGUCUGUGAAGUCUGUAUUUUCUUUUACUUGAGUCUGUAGUUGGUUGUUGAGUCUAUUGUUUUCACCUUUCUAUCAAAUUCUAUUUGUUUUGUUUUAAGUCAGAG